rnacentral:tRNA from 1 species
GAAGGUACAGCUCAGUGGUAGAGUGAGCGCUUAGCAUGCACAAGGUCCUGGGUUCAAUACCCAGUACCUCCA